GAUGAAGAACGCAGCGAAAUGCGAUAAGUAAUGUGAAUUGCAGAAUUCAGUGAAUCAUCGAAUCUUUGAACGCACAUUGCGCCCGCCAGUAUUCUGGCGGGCAUGCCUGUCCGAGCGUCAUUUCAACCCUCGAACCCCUCCGGGGGGUCGGCGUUGGGGAUCGGCCCUGCCUCUUGGCGGUGGCCGUCUCCGAAAUACAGUGGCGGUCUCGCCGCAGCCUCUCCUGCGCAGUAGUUUGCACACUCGCAUCGGGAGCGCGGCGCGUCCACAGCCGUUAAACACCCAACUUCUGAAAUGUUGACCUCGGAUCAGGUAGGAAUACCCGCUGAACUUAAGCAUAUCAAUAGCGGAGGA
rnacentral:misc_RNA from 1 species